CACGUAGGGCGCAAGCGUUGUCCGGAAUUACUGGGCGUAAAGGGCUCGUAGGCGGCCAACUAAGUCAGACGUGAAAUCCCUCAGCUUAACUGGGGAACUGCGUCUGAUACUGGAUGGCUUGGAUUCGGGAGAGGAAUGCGGAAUUCCAGGUGUAGCGGUGAAAUGCGUAGAUAUCUGGAGGAACACCGGUGGCGAAGGCGGCAUUCUGGACCGAUAUUGACGCUGAGGAGCGAAAGCCAGGGGAGCAAACGGG
rnacentral:rRNA from 1 species